UGUUGUGAAUUCGAACCAAAAACCACACCAAUAACCAAUAGUUAAAACCAACUAUCUAUAGUGUGUGGGACAAAUGGAUUGAAGCAACCAAAUCAACAAUGGAUGAGCAAUUAAACACAAAAGCUAAAACUAUAAAAGCGAUAAAGAACACGAUAUUUGUUUACCCAGUUCGGUCCAAUAAUGACCUAGUCUGGGGGAGAGAGAGCUCUCCGUUCCACUAUUAAUAGAAUACUUGAUUACACAUGAGAUUCAUAGAGUUACAAGAAUUAAUCCUAAUUCUACCCUUUGCCCGAAUCUCUCCCCGUGACCAAGAGAUUCUAUGAAAAGUGACUACCAAGGUGUUUAGAUUGUUAUCCCAACCCUAGAGUAUACCCAAGAAUGUUUUCUUAUAACCCUAGACUGUUGUUGGCUGCACAAACCCUAAAAAACCUCAUCUCACACAUCAGAAACGCAAAACAGCAUAUUUAUAAUCGAGCUGGCGCCCCGCGCCAGUUGCCCUGCGCCCCGCGCAGACUAACAGAAGCAAACAGGCAAUUCCAGACCUCUCCCUGCGCCCCGCGCAGACUAACAGAAGCAAAAAGGCAAUUCCAGACCUCUCCUGGCGCCUGGGCGCCACUGCACUGCUAGAAUUUCCAGUUUCUUCAGCUUCUCCUGUUUCUGAGUUUUCAAGGCAAUUUACAACAAU
rnacentral:lncRNA from 1 species